UACGGGGGGAGCAAGCGUUGUUCGGAUUUACUGGGCGUAAAGGGCGCGUAGGCGGUCAGCACAAGUCAAUUGUGAAAUCUCCGAGCUUAACUCGGAAAGGUCAACUGAAACUGUGCGACUAGAGUGCGGAAGGGGCAACUGGAAUUCUUGGUGUAGCGGUGAAAUGCGUAGAUAUCAAGAGGAACACCUGCGGCGAAGGCGGGUUGCUGGGCCGACACUGACGCUGAAGCGCGAAAGCCAGGGAGCGAACGGG
rnacentral:rRNA from 1 species